UAAAUCGCUGAAUCAUUUCAGAGUGAGCGGGGGAACCAAUUUUUGGGGUGAAUUUAUCAUUUGUAUAAAGGGGAAACUCUCAUUCCCUAAUCCGACAGCUAACCUCGUAAGCGUUAUAAAGAGA
rnacentral:sRNA from 1 species